UGACAAGCGCGUCAACCUAAAGACAGGGACUUUACAGAUACAAAAAAGUUUCUCAUUAAUCUUAUCAGACCUUUAUGGUAUUUAAACAACACUUUGAGAUAUUGUUUUCAGAGUGGAGCUUGUAUCUGGAGAGUGUAUCAUUUUAAUAUGCGGUAAUAUUGAAUUAUUUGAAUCAUUUCUAAAAUAAAUUGUUCUUCGGUUGCCUACAUUCUUCUGUGAUAGUGAUAGAGAACUACAAUCCUGUCUAUCUAUACUAUAGACGUUUGUAGAGAUACACAUAGUAUGGAUGUAGAUCUAGUACAGUUGGAGUCCAGUCUAUGGGUCGGUAAGAAACGUUACCGGGCAGCCCUUACCGAAUGGCACCUCAACUGGACUGGGCUCGAUAAGAAGAACCGUGACAAGACCGUUUCAGUACCAGUGUCGGAGAUUGUUGCUGUGGAGGAGGGGCAUGUGGAGGUUCUGCCCCAGAGGUCAGUUUCUGAAGACACAGACAGAGACUUCACAGUGUUCUAUGUGAAGCGUAGCAGCAACGGUAGUUCCUAUGGGUUGCUAUGGCGCCUGGGCAGGACCCAGUUCAGCUGUCCCAGCAGGGAUCUCAGAGACCAGUGGAUGACCCAGCUGAGGAUUGCCCUCAAAACACACAGCCCCUCUCGUCCUCACAGGUUGUUGGUGUUCAUCAACCCGUUCGGAGGAAAGAAACAAGGGAGGGAGAUCUAUCACUCUCUAGUGGCCCCACUAUUUGAGCUGGCAGGGGUCAGCUCUCAUGUUGUAGUGACAGAGCGGGCCAACCAGGCGAGAGACCACAUAUUGAAGAAAGACCUGACUGGUUUCGAUGGUGUGGUAUGUGUGGGCGGGGAUGGAAUGUUCAGUGAGCUGCUGCACGGUGUGAUUGGCCGAACACAGCAGGAGGCGGGGCUAUCGGAGCAUGACCCCUCCCUACAGUCAUGUGACCUUCACAUUGGCAUCAUUCCUGCAGGCUCCACAGACUGCGUGUGUUUUGCCACUGUGGGAGUCAAUGACCCAGUGACCUCUGCACUGCACAUUAUCAUUGGAGACUCUCAGCCUCUGGACGUGUGUUCUGUCCACCACCGCUCGUCUCUGGUGCGUUACUCUGUGUCUCUGGUAGGAUACGGGUUCUAUGGUGACGUGCUGGCUGAAAGUGAGAGACACCGCUGGAUGGGGCCUCUCCGAUAUGACUAUUCAGGUGCUAUGGUGUACCUGAGUAACAGGAGCUAUGCAGGCCUAGUUCAGUACCUACCAGCAGACCCCCAGCUCUCCAACCCCAGGGACAACACACGCUGCCUCUCUGGGUGCAGUGUGUGUUCUAAGAGCACAGAGAGACUGUUCCCCCACUCUCCAGAUGCUAGUUCCAACUACAUCUCCCACUUCAGGCAGUUCAGCAGCGACUCAGAGGGUGAUUGGGUGAGUGUGGAGGGCCGGUUCAAGGCUGUGUCCCUCACCUGUAUGUCCAGCUCCUGUCCUCGCAGUCCCCUGGGCCUGUCCCCCUCAGCACAUCUGGCCGAUGGGACAGGUGACCUCAUCAUUGUACGGGACACACAUCCCCUAGGGUUCCUCACCUUCCUACACAGACACACCAGCACACAGGACCAGUUUGACCUGUCCUUCGUGGAUGUCCACCGCGUGAAGGCAGUACGUUUCUCUCUCCCACCCGGAGAAAAGGAGGAUGAGGAUGAAGAGAGGGAGACAGUAAAUGGUGGAGGGAUGGCGGAAGAGAGAACAAGCCGGAGCGGUUCCCAACAUCACCUGGUAGAAAGAGGAGAGGAGCGAGGGAUGGCGAAUGACAGGAGGAAGAAAGACUUGUGUGGCCUGUGCUGCAGUAAGCCUCCUUCAGUGUCUGUGUGGAACUGUGAUGGAGAAAUACUACCUCACACUGAGAUCCUCUGCAGGGUUCAUGGUCAGCUGGUGCGUUUGUAUGCCCGGGGCAUGGAGGACGGAUCAGCCACGCCCACCAGGAAGUGAACUGUGUUAGGGUCCGUUCACACUACUGACUGAGGGAGGCCGUGGUAGGGUCCGUUCACACUACUGACUGAGGGAGGCGGUGGUAGGGUCCGUUCACACUACUGACUGAGGGAGGCCGUGGUAGGGUCCAUUCACACUACUGACUGAGGGAGGCCGUGGUAGGGUCCAUUCACACUACUGACUGAGGGAGGCGGAGGUAGGGUCCGUUCACACUACUGACUGAGGGAGGCCGUGGUAGGGUCCGUUCACACUACUGACUGAGGGAGGCCGUGGUAGGGUCCGUUCACACUACUGACUGAGGGAGGCCGUGGUAGGGUCCGUUCACACUACUGACUGAGGGAGGCCGUGGUAGGGUCCCUUCACACUACUGACUGAGGGAGGCCGUGGUAGGGUCCGUUCACACUACUGACUGAGGGAGGCGGAGGUAGGGUCCGUUCACACUACUGACUGAGGGAGGCCGUGGUAGGGUUCGUUCACACUACUGACUGAGGGAGGCCCGUUCACACUACUGACUGAGGGAGGCCGUGGUAGGGUCCGUUCACACUACUGACUGAGGGAGGCCGUAGUAGGGUCCAUUCACACUACUGACUGAGGGAGGCCGUGGUAGGGUCCGUUCACACUACUGACUGAGGGAGGCGAUGGUAGGGUCCGUUCACACUACUGACUGAGGGAGGCCGUGGUAGGGUCCGUUCACACUACUGACUGAGGGAGGCGGAGGUAGGGUCCGUUCACACUACUGACUGAGGGAGGCCGUGGUAGGGUCCGUUCACACUACUGACUGAGGGAGGCCGUGGUAGGGUCCGUUCACACUACUGACUGAGGGAGGCCGUGGUAGGGUCCGUUCACACUACUGACUGAGGGAGGCGGAGGUAGGGUCCGUUCACACUACUGACUGAGGGAGGCCGUGGUAGGGUCCGUUCACACUACUGACUGAGGGAGGCCGUGGUAGGGUCCGUUCACACUACUGACUGAGGGAGGCCGUGGUAGGGUCCGUUCACACUACUGACUGAGGGAGGAGGAGGUAGGGUCCGUUCACACUACUGACUGAGGGAGGCGGAGGUAGGGUCCGUUCACACUACUGACUGAGGGAGGCGGAGGUAAGGUCCGUUCACACUACUGACUGAGGGAGGCCGUGGUAGGGUCCCUUCACACUACUGACUGAGGGAGGCCGUGGUAGGGUCCGUUCACACUACUGACUGAGGGAGGCGGAGGUAGGGUCCGUUCACACUACUGACUGAGGGAGGCCGUGGUAGGGUUCGUUCACACUACUGACUGAGGGAGGCCCGUUCACACUACUGACUGAGGGAGGCCGUGGUAGGGUCCGUUCACACUACUGACUGAGGGAGGCCGUAGUAGGGUCCAUUCACACUACUGACUGAGGGAGGCCGUGGUAGGGUCCGUUCACACUACUGACUGAGGGAGGCCGUGGUAGGGUCCGAUAACACUACUUUCAGAGAAAAAUAAUGCCAAAAAAGAAAACAUAAUUAUAGUCAAUAAUUCUGCCAGCUAGGACCAAUGAAAUGGCUCUCUCUCUCUCUGGGGUAGUUUUUUUUCUAGAGUGAACGGAGCCUUACUGUGAUACUGAGAUGUAUCACAACUGAAGAAGGCUGUAUUACUGUACGAACCUCAUGUAGGCUCAAUGACAACGUAUCAGUUAGUGGGAUGUCUGUGGAAAGACUUAUUUUUCUGACCUGUGACUAUCAACAGAAUAACCAACAGAGCCUUACAUUUGACAUACCUGAUGAAAUGGCUACUGUAACUAACAGUAGGGUCACCAUACAAGUUAGUGGGACAACGGUCAUGAAUGACAUUGGAAGUAGGUGUGACUGAAUGUAACACACUACCCAAAAGAGCCUUCCAUUUCACUUCAUCUGCUUUCUCUCUUGUCAAAAUAUUCAGGAAUGAUUUGGUUAAGUCUUUAGAUGGAGGUUUGAGGUAAUUCAAGGAAUGUACACUGAGUGUUUAAAACAUUAAGAACACCUGCACUUUUCAUGACAGGUGGAUCCAGGUGAAAGCUAUGAUCCCCUUAUUGAUGUCACUUGUUAAAUCCACUUAAAAUCAGUGUAGAUGAAGGGGAGGAGUCCGG